rnacentral:rRNA from 1 species
AAACUUACAACAACGGAUCUCUUGGCUCUCGCAUCGAUGAAGAACGCAGA